UACGUAGGGAGCAAGCGUUGUCCGGAAUCACUGGGCUUAAAGGGCGCGUAGGCGGCUGCUCAAGUCGGGGGUGAAAUCUUUCAGCUCAACUGGAAAAUAGCCUCCGAUACUGGGUAGCUCGAGGGAGAUAGGGGCAUGCGGAACUUCCGGUGGAGCGGUGAAAUGCGUAGAUAUCGGAAGGAACGCCGGUGGCGAAAGCGGCGUGCUGGAUCUCUUCUGACGCUGAUGCGCGAAAGCCAGGGGAGCAAACGGG
rnacentral:rRNA from 1 species